AUGUGUUUGAUCUCAUUCCUAAAAAAGAACUCACAUUUUCCUUUAUACUUAUUUUUUUCCCUUGAAAGGUUAUUAAAUUCAUUGGAGAAUGAGUGUUGUCCUGAAUUUGUUGCUUUUCCGUCUGCUAAUUCAGUCCAGUGUUGUUCAGUGACUACUUAGUGCAAGGUCCAGGCAAGAUACUGCAGAAGAAACUUAGAAUCUGAAUCAACGACCUGUAAGGAACUCAACGCAGGACACAAGAGAAGAGGUAAGCAUUUGAAUGUUAGGGAGAGACUCAAAACACAAGAAGAAAGGUCAUGAGACAGUGUUUGCUGAGUAUGGGAAAUUAAUCACAUAAAUGAUAACACCCCAGAGGGUUCUGAGG
rnacentral:lncRNA from 1 species